rnacentral:rRNA from 1 species
AGAGUUUGAUCAUGGCUCAGGAUCAACGCUGGCGGCGUGCCUAACGCAUGUAAGUCGCACGCACGCACUUCGGUGCGUGAGUGGCGAACGGCUGAGGAACACGUACGAACCUGCCCGUUCGUGGGGAAUAACGCGCCGAAAGGUGUGCUAAUACCGCGUACGCUCAUCCUGUAGCGGGAUGAGGAAAGCCUUCGGGCGCGGACGGAGGGGCGUGCGGCCCAUCAGGUCGUUGGCGGGGUAAGAGCCCACCAAGCCGUUGACGGGUCGCUGGUCUGUGAGGACGAUCAGCCAGACUGGGACUGAGACACGGCCCAGACACCUACGGGUGGCAGCAGCGAGGAAUCUUCUACAAUGGGCGCAAGCCCGAUAGAGCAACGCCGCGUGGAGGACGACGGCCUUCGGGUUGUAAACUCCUUUCAGGGGGGAUGACAUGGACAGUACCCCCAGAAGCAGCCCCGGCUAACUCUGUGCCAGCAGCCGCGGUAAGACAGAGGGGGCAAGCGUUGUCCGGAUUUACUGGGCGUACAGCGCGCGCAGGCGGGCUUCAAGGUGCCGUGUGACAGGUCGGGGCUCAACCCCGGAGGGUCAGGGUAGACCGGGAGCCUGGAGGCAGGGAGAGGGACGUGGAAUACCCGGUGGAGCGGUGAAAUGCGUAGAGAUCGGGUGGAACACCAGGGGCGAAGGCGGCGUCCUGGCCCUGUACUGACGCUGAGGCGCGAGAGCGUGGGGAGCGAACCGGAUUAGAUACCCCCGUAGUCC